AAGGGCAUACGGCGGAUGCCUAGGCGUUUUGAAACGAAGAAGGACGCGAUCAGCUGCGAUAAGCCAUGACGAGCUGCAAGUAAGCAUUGACUCAUGGAUUUCCGAAUGGGGCAACCCGGCGGGAGUAACGUCCCGUCACUCUGUACUCGAUACAGA
rnacentral:rRNA from 1 species